rnacentral:lncRNA from 1 species
UGUGAGAAGCCUCUUCCUCUUAAAACAGCAUUGCAAAAAAAGAGGAGUUACGGCAAUGCAUUUCAUCAUCCCAGUGCUGUACGAUUACAAGAGAGUGAUUCUUUAGCCACCAGCAUUGAUCCAAAAGAAGAUCACAAUUACAGUGCAAGUAGCAUGGCAGCACAGCGUUGUGCAUCCAGGUCUAGCGUGUCUUCCCUGUCUUCUGUGGAUGAGGUAUAUGAAUUUAUCCCAA